UCCCUGGUUGUUCAGUGGUUAGGACUCUGCACUCUUAAUGUAGGGGUCUGAGUUGGAUCCCUGGUCAGAGAA
rnacentral:tRNA from 1 species